rnacentral:rRNA from 1 species
UACGUAGGGGGCAAGCGUUGUUCGGAAUUACUGGGCGUAAAGGGCGCGUAGGCGGCACGACAAGUCGGGAGUGAAAGCCCGGGGCUCAACCCCGGAGGGUCUUCCGAAACUGUCGAGCUAGAGUGCGGAAGAGGCAACCGGAAUUCCCAGUGUAGCGGUGAAAUGCGUAGAUAUUGGGAAGAACACCGGAGGCGAAGGCGGGUUGCUGGGCCGACACUGACGCUGAGGCGCGAAAGCCAGGGGAGCAAACGGG